UACGUAGGGGGCUAGCGUUGUUCGGAAUUACUGGGCGUAAAGCGCACGUAGGCGGAUAUUUAAGUCAGGGGUGAAAUCCCAGAGCUCAACUCUGGAACUGCCUUUGAUACUGGGUAUCUUGAGUAUGGAAGAGGCAAGUGGAAUUGCGAGUGUAGAGGUGAAAUUCGUAGAUAUUCGCAGGAACACCAGUGGCGAAGGCGGCUUACUGGUCCAUUACUGACGCUGAGGCACGAAAGCGUGGGGAUCAAACAGG
rnacentral:rRNA from 1 species